rnacentral:rRNA from 1 species
UACGUAGGGACCGAGCGUUGUCCGGAUUCAUUGGGCGUAAAGAGCUCGUAGGCGGCUGCUCAAGUCGAAUGUGAAAACUCGAGGCUCAACCUCGAGCCUGCAUUCGAUACUGGGCGGCUAGAGUCUGGUAGGGGGAUCUGGAAUUCCUGGUGUAGCGGUGGAAUGCGCAGAUAUCAGGAGGAACACCGGUGGCGAAGGCGGGAUCCUGGGCCAGUACUGACGCUGAGGAACGAAAGCCAGGGGAGCGAACGGG